AUUGAACGCUGGCGGCAGGCUUAACACAUGCAAGUCGAGCGGAGAGAGGUAGCUUGCUACCGAUCUUAGCGGCGGACGGGUGAGUAAUGCUUAGGAAUAUGCCUAUUAGUGGGGGACAACAUUUCGAAAGGAAUGCUAAUACCGCAUACGUCCUACGGGAGAAAGCAGGGGAUCUUCGGACCUUGCGCUAAUAGAUGAGCCUAAGUCGGAUUAGCUAGUUGGUGGGGUAAAGGCCUCCCAAGGCGACGAUCUGUAGCGGGUCUGAGAGGAUGAGCCGCCACACUGGGACUGAGACACUGCCCAGACUCCUACAGGAGGCAGAAGUGGGGAAUAUUGGACAAUUGGCGCAAGCCUGAUCCAGCUAUGCCGCGUGUGUGAAGAAGGCCUUAUGGUUGUAAAGCACUUUAAGCGAGGAGGAGGCUACUUUAGUUAAUCCCUAGAGAUAGUGGACGUUACUCGCAGAAUAAGCACCGGCUAACUCUGCGCCAGCAGCCGCCGUAACAC
rnacentral:rRNA from 1 species